UGUCUCCAGGGCAACCGUGGCUUUAGAUUGUUACUGUGUCUUGUGUUGGUAACAGUCUACAGCCAUGGUCGCUUGGGCCAGACGC
ensembl:miRNA MIR132 microRNA 132